CAGUCGCCGCGGGAAAACGUAGGUGGCAAGCGUUGUCCGGAAUUAUUGGGCGUAAAGGGCUCGCAGGCGGUUUCUUAAGUCUGAUGUGAAAGCCCCCGGCUCAACCGGGGAGGGUCAUUGGAAACUGGGAAACUUGAGUGCAGAAGAGGAGAGUGGAAUUCCACGUGUAGCGGUGAAAUGCGUAGAGAUGUGGAGGAACACCAGUGGCGAAGGCGACUCUCCGGUCUGUAACUGACGCUGAGGAGCGAAAGCGUGGGGAGCAAAUGGGAUUAGAUACCCCCGUAGUCCCUGUCUCUUAUAU
rnacentral:rRNA from 1 species